GCGUCAGGUGUCACCAAGAGUCAGAAAACCCGCAGGCGCAGGGGCAUUUUCCCUGGCUGGGAGGGGGGUGGGGGCGGUCGAAGGGAAGGUGUGGGUCUGGGGCUUUUCUUUCACUCAGGGGUCCCACCCCGCUGCUUCGGGGUCGCAUCCAUUACCUUCGAAAAUGCUCAGUCCUUCGGUCCGGGGCGAGGCAGAAUGGAGGAUGGAGACAGAAACAGGUCAAGAAACAUCCAAGACAUUUUGCAAAUUGCCCAAGGUCACAGAGCCGACAAAUAGUGAUGGGAUUCAGAAACCUGUGCUGUGAACCACUGCCUCAGGGCAGAUGAGGAUUAGAAGACUUUCAGGGGUUGAAGAAUUUACACACGCUUCCACCUUCAUGAAAUGCAAGAGCCCGGAUUUAAAACCCAGAAGAGAAUGAUAAUAUUAUCCUAAAUCUGAAUAAUGAUUUACAAGGUG